UCUUGACCUUACAAAGGCACCCAUUGCCAGAUCCGUGUAAAGCUGUUCUAAUUCUAGUUGUAAAGAUUUGAAUACAGACUCCUCUUCUUCAGACAAAUGAUCUUUCUUCAGAAAACUGUCAAGCUUGCUCAUCAUCUCCUUUUCUCUAAGGCCCCGGAGUGAACAUACUUGUACACCUGCAAAGCCGACUAAAACGAGGGCUGAGGGGCUUACGUUGCAAACUGCCCUUGCUUGGCUAAUCAUUUGGACCGCCCGCCAAGAUGGCGACAGGGAUUUCCCCAAGGGCAUAAGGCAAGGCCUGAGGACUUCCCUGAGAUGGAGAUCUUGUGGCAGCUGACCUGCGCCUGGAACACAGGCAUCCUGCUUUACAGCCUGGCCGAGUACCCUGAGGGGUGGUGUGGCCUGGGCAUGAGCUUCCUCCGCUGCCUGGGCUCCCUGCAGGAGAGCUACCAGACACAGAUGUCAGAUCUGUACACAGGUCCUGGAUAGUCUGGACAAAGCCAAGAAGAACCUCCUCUUGGAGUCGUGAUUUGAGCUGGUAGAGCUUUGCAGAGCUCUUUUACUGUCUGGCACCUGAUGUUAUUCAUGUGGUAGCUGGGAUGGUAGUUUACUAUAUGAUGUAUGACUGGUCUCCAGUUUAGUCAGCUCCUCCAGGAUGUCAGUUGCAUCCUGUCCUCACCCAAUAUUUCCCUCACUUUCCCUAUGGAGAGUUCAGAUAACCAUUUCUGCUGGGGCGACAGGGUAGCCUAGUGGUUAGAGCGUUGGACUAGUAACCGAAAGGUUGCAAGUUCAAAUCCCCGAGCUGACAAGGUACAAAUCUGUCGUUCUGCCCCUGAACAGGCAGUUAACCCACUGUUCCUAGGCCGUCAUUGAAAAUAAGAAUUUGUUCUUAACUGACUUGCCUAGUAAAAUAAAGGUUAAAAAAAAAAAAAUCUGCACAUGAAUGGACUUUAUUUUAAGCCUCUUGCAUAUAUUACAUUUAUGUGAAUUUUACAUGUAAAAAUUUCAUUAAUCUUAAUUAAACAAAUCUUAAACUGCC
ensembl:lncRNA